rnacentral:lncRNA from 1 species
AUGUGUAGAAGACCUGUGCUAGGGGGAAGCAGGGCAGUAGCACAGGAAAGCACAUCCUCACCUGUCUGGGCAGCUGAGUCGUCAUAUCCAUCCUGAAGCCCACUCAUUUCUCGGACAACCUAGUGUGCCAGGUGUCCUGGACCUUCGCUGAAACACCUGCAGCAAUCUCUGCCUACAACUGGGGCUGCCUCACUGCAGAUGACUGGGAUCCAAGGGACAGAGGAAGGGAGGGAAAGCAAACAAAAAAAUGGAGGCAUGAGAGCCGGGCGGCCUGACCUGUCAAGUGGCCGUGGCGGACACUGUCCUGGAGAGCCGUCCAGACUCCCAGCAGGCCUUGCCUUAGCACCAGGUAAACCUAGGGGUUGUUUGUACCUGAGCAUGACGUCGCUUGCCCUGACAAUUUCACGCUCCUGUCAAGAAGUGCAAGCUGCUGCAUCCACACACAGCCGUUCUCGGGAGAGAAAGCAUCCCAGGCAAGGCAAAGGAGAGGGAGAGGAAGGUACAUUUUAAUAACAAAUGGUCGAGGCUUUAAGUGAAAUGGAAGAUCUUUAUGUGAAAAAUGGUUGAGACCUGGUGAUCAUUUGAAGGUAAAAUCCAUGGUCCUUGUUUCUGUAACUGCAGCUGGAGGAAGCUGCAUGUUCACUGGCCUUCCUAGUGAAGGUGUCUACAGAC